rnacentral:rRNA from 1 species
CGCAUCUGUGCAUGCAGCAUAUCAAUAAGCGGAGGAAAAGAAACUAACAAGGAUUCCCUUAGUAACGGCGAGUGAAGCGGGAAGAGCUCAAAUUUGAAAUCUUCAAGGUUUUACCUUGACGAAUUGUAGUUUAAAGAAGUGUUUUCUGCUGAAGUUUUGGUAAAAGUUCUUUGGAAUAGGACAUCAUAGAGGGUGAGAAUCCCGUAUUUGACCAUUAUUUUCAGCUUUGUGAUACACUUUCAAAGAGUCGGAUUGUUUGGGAAUGCAGUCCAAAAUGGGUGGUAAAUUUCAUCUAAAGCUAAAUAUUGGCGAGAGACCGAUAGCGAACAAGUACCGUGAGGGAAAGAUGAAAAGGAACUUUGAAAAGAGAGUUAAACAGUACGUGAAAUUGUCAAAAGGGAAGCGUUUGACACCAGUGUUGUUUUUCCGAAAAUCAAUUACGAAUGGCUUGAUUUUGUGUUGUAUUGACCUUAUCAGCUUUCUUCACUUUUUUCGAGUCUUUCUUAAUGCACUUUUCGGUUAACAAGUCAACAUCAGUUUCUUUUGUUGUAAAAGGGUCAUUGGAAGGUGGCUUUCUUUUCGGAGAAAGUGUUUAUAGCCUUUGGCCUCUGCAAUCGGAGAGACUGAGGUCUGCAGCGUAGACUCUUCGGGGUUAGAUACAUUUGUGCUGAGUUAUAGCUUUCUAUAGACAACUUGUUGACUAUGAUUAGUCUUGUAGCUUACUCGCUUAUGCUAUUUUACCUACGCUUAGGAUGUUGAAGAUAUGCGCGACACG